rfam:Dipodomys ordii contig_25756, whole genome shotgun sequence.
GAGAAGUUGGCUCAGUGGUAGAGUGCUUGCCUUGCAUGCAUGAGGCCUCGGGUUCAAUUCCUCAGCACCACA